rnacentral:rRNA from 1 species
UGGGGAAUAUUGCACAAUGGGCGAAAGCCUGAUGCAGCAACGCCGCGUGAGGGACGACGGCCUUCGGGUUGUAAACCUCUUUUAGCAAGGAAGAAGCGAAAGUGACGGUACUUGCAGAAAAACGCGCCGGCUAACUACGUGCCAGCAGCCGCGGUAAUACGUAGGGCGCAAGCGUUAUCCGGAAUUAUUGGGCGUAAAGAGCUCGUAGGCGGUUUGUCGCGUCUGCUGUGAAAACCCGAGGCUCAACCUCGGGCCUGCAGUGGGUACGGGCAGACUAGAGUGCGGUAGGGGAGAUUGGAACUCCCGGUGUAGCGGUGGAAUGCGCAGAUAUCAGGAAGAACACCGAUGGCGAAGGCAGAUCUCUGGGCCGUAACUGACGCUGAGGAGCG